rnacentral:rRNA from 1 species
AGUGAACGCUGGCGGUAGGCCUAACACAUGCAAGUCGAACGAGUGGCGGACGGGUGAGUAAUGUCUGGGAAACUGCCUGAUGGAGGGGGAUAACUACUGGAAACGGUAGCUAAUACCGCAUACCAUCGAAUGUGCCCAGGUGGGAUUAGCUAGUUGGGGGGGUAACGGCUCACCAAGGCGACGAUCCCUAGCUGGUCUGAGAGGAUGACCAGCCACACUGGAACUGAGACACGGUCCAGACUCCUACGGGAGGCAGCAGUGGGGAAUAUUGCACAAUGGGCGCAAGCCUGAUGCAGCCAUGCCGCGUGUAUGAAGAAGGCCUUCGGGUUGUAAAGCACUUUCAGUGGGGAAGCGGUACCCAAAGAAGAAGCACCGGCUAACUCCGUGCCAGCAGCCGCGGUAAUAC